rnacentral:rRNA from 1 species
CCGUAGGUGACCUGCGGAAGGAUCAUUAUUGAAUAAGCUUGGUUGGGUUGUUGCUGGCUCUUCGGAGCAUGUGCACGCCUAACACCAAUCUUCUUUACCACCUGUGCACCUUUUGUAGACCUGGAUAUCUCUCGAGGAAACUCGGUAUGAGGACUGCUGUGCAUUUAAUAAAGCCGGCUUUCCUUACAUUUCCGGUCUAUGUCUUCAUAUACACCAUUUGUAUGUCAUAAGAAUGUUAUAAUAGGACUUGAUUGUCCAAAUAAACCUUAUACAACUUUCAACAACGGAUCUCUUGGCUCUCGCAUCGAUGAAGAACGCAGCGAAAUGCGAUAAGUAAUGUGAAUUGCAGAAUUCAGUGAAUCAUCGAAUCUUUGAACGCACCUUGCGCUCCUUGGUAUUCCGAGGAGCAUGCCUGUUUGAGUGUCAUGAAAUUCUCAACCUUUUCGGCUUUUACUAAAGUUGAUUAGGCUUGGAUGUGGGAGUUUGCGGGCUUUUCUAAAGUCRGCUCUCCUUAAAUUCAUUAGUAGGGACCUUUGUUGCCUUAGCUUUUGGUGUGAUAAUUAUCUACGCCAUUAUGUGAAGCAGCUUUAAAUUGGAGGUUACUGCUUUCUAAUCGUCUCCGGACAUUUCCUGACAAUUUGACCUCAAAUCAGGUAGGACUA